rnacentral:rRNA from 2 species
CUUGCUCCCUGAUAUCAGCGGCGGACGGGUGAGUAACACGUGGGUAACCUGCCUGUAAGACUGGGAUAACUCCGGGAAACCGGGGCUAAUACCGGAUAACUCAUUUCCUCGCAUGAGGAAAUGUUGAAAGGUGGCUUCGGCUAUCACUUACAGAUGGACCCGCGGCGCAUUAGCUAGUUGGUGAGGUAACGGCUCACCAAGGCAACGAUGCGUAGCCGACCUGAGAGGGUGAUCGGCCACACUGGGACUGAGACACGGCCCAGACUCCUACGGGAGGCAGCAGUAGGGAAUCUUCCGCAAUGGACGAAAGUCUGACGGAGCAACGCCGCGUGAGUGAUGAAGGUUUUCGGAUCGUAAAGCUCUGUUGUUAGGGAAGAACAAGUGCCGUUCGAAUAGGGCGGCACCUUGACGGUACCUAACCAGAAAGCCACGGCUAACUACGUGCCAGCAGCCGCGGUAAUACGUAGGUGGCAAGCGUUGUCCGGAAUUAUUGGGCGUAAAGCGCGCGCAGGUGGUUCCUUAAGUCUGAUGUGAAAGCCCACGGCUCAACCGUGGAGGGUCAUUGGAAACUGGGGAACUUGAGUGCAGAAGAGGAAAGUGGAAUUCCAAGUGUAGCGGUG